rnacentral:rRNA from 1 species
GACGAACGCUGGCGGCGUGCCUAAUACAUGCAAGUCGAACGCAGUGGGGACGGGUGAGUAACCAGUGGGUAACCUCCCAUCAGAGGGGAUAACACUUGGAAACAGGUGCUAAACCGAUACUGAUGGAUGGACCCGCGGUGCAUUAGUCAGUUGGUGAGGUAACGGCUCACCAGGGCCACGAUGCAUAGCCGACCUGGGGGGGGAAUCGGCCACCCGGGGACUGAGACACGGCCCAGACCCCUACGGGGGGCAGCGGUGGGGAAUCUUCGGCAAUGGCGAAAGUCUGACAGAGCAACGCCGCGUGAGUGAAGAAGGUUUUCGGAUCGUAAAACUCUGUUGUUAGAGAAGCGGUAUCUAACCAGAAAGCCACGGCUAACUACGUGCCAGCAGCCGCGGUAAUUC